GCCUCUGAAGCUGAAGUGGAUAAGCGGCGGUCUGUUAAACCGAGGGAAGCAGGUUCAAAUCCUGCCGGAGGCG
rnacentral:tRNA from 1 species